GAUGAACGCUGGCGGCGUGCCUAAUACAUGCAAGUCGAGCGAACAGACGAGGAGCUUGCUCCUUCGACGUUAGCGGCGGACGGGUUAGUAACACGUAGGUAACCUACCUAUAAGACUGGGAUAACUUCGGGAAACCGGAGCUAAUACCGGAUAAUAUUUCGAACCGCAUGGUUCGAUAGUGAAAGAUGGCUUUGCUAUCACUUAUAGAUGGACCUGCGCCGUAUUAGCUAGUUGGUAAGGUAACGGCUUACCAAGGCAACGAUACGUAGCCGACCUGAGAGGGUGAUCGGCCACACUGGAACUGAGACACGGUCCAGACUCCUACGGGAGGCAGCAGUAGGGAAUCUUCCGCAAUGGGCGAAAGCCUGACGGAGCAACGCCGCGUGAGUGAUGAAGGUCUUCGGAUCGUAAAACUCUGUUAUUAGGGAAGAACAAACGUGUAAGUAACUGUGCACGUCUUGACGGUACCUAAUCAGAAAGCCACGGCUAACUACGUG
rnacentral:rRNA from 1 species